rnacentral:lncRNA from 1 species
CCACCCUCCAGGCACCCCCCAGUGAGCCGCCUCCUCCCCAGCCCCCCUGCCCCGGUUACCGCCCUUCAGCCGCUCACCCCAGGAUGGACCCCCCUGGGCCACAGAUCAGGAUCUGAUCACCCCACCUCCGAGUACCCCGGUACCCCCAUUCACAGCAGCUGUGACACGGGGCCUGACAGCCAAAUGCUGACGGGAGGGAAAGGAAUAGAUCCCUGUGUUCAGUUAGUGUGCCCACUUAGCAUCUUAUGUCCCCAAGGCCCCUUGCUGAAGUCUUGGUCACCAGCUGUGGUGCUCCUGGGAGGUGGAAGGACCUUUAGGAAGUGGAGCCCAGUGGGGAAGGUGGUCACUUGGGCACCAGGCCCUCUCUCCCUCUUUCCUUCCUAGAGGCCGUGAGGGGAGUGGCCUCCUCCACCAUGGACUCCCACCAGAGGCUCUGUGCUGCCGCAGGCCCAGGCAAUGUGUCCAAGCAACCGCGGACUGAAACCAGGAGGCAGAACAGGCUCUUCCUCUUUAUAAGGUCAUCUUCUCGGGUGUUUCCUUGCAGGGAUGGAGAGCUGGUCCACACUCCAGCAUGCACUUGUGA